rnacentral:lncRNA from 1 species
GGGAUGUAAGAUUGAUCACAAAGGAGUAGUGAGAUUAUUGCGGUUUCUAUGUAUCUGAUUUGCAACUCCAGCACUUCCACAGCAGCCUUAAAAAUCAGGAUUAUCUACAGAAGAAAAACUUGCAGGUGCUGAGCAGUGAUCCAAGCGCAUCUUGCUGCCUUUGGGAGAGUCUGCUCCAGUGGCUGCCCCGUUUUUCUGUGAGUUUAUCAAAACUCUUGCUCUUUUCCAGAAGCAAAAGGAGGUAACACACUCCAAGAUCAGAUUUUGGAGCGUACUGGUUUAGUGGGAGGUGUCCAGGCAGGGGAUGAACUUUAAUGGGGAGGCACUGAGGGGCAUCCCCUAAUUUAUACCCCAUUGGCUCCUUG